GAUGAACGCUGGCGGCGUGCCUAAUACAUGCCAGUCGAGCGAACGGACGCGUAGCUUGCUUCUCUGAUGUUAGCGGCGGAAGGGUGAGUAACACGUGGAUAACCUACCUAUAAGACUGGGAUAACUUCGGGAAACCGGAGCUAAUACCGGAUAAUAUUUUGAACCGCAUGGUUCAAAAGUGUAAGACGGUCUUGCUGUCACUUAUAGAUGGAUCCGCGCUGCAUUAGCUAGUUGGUAAGGUAACGGCUUACCAAGGCAACGAUGCAUAGCCGACCUGAGAGGGGGAUCGGCGACACGGGAGCUGAGACACGGUCCAGAGUCCUACGGGAGGCAGCAGUAGGGAAUCUUCCGCAAUGGGCGAAAGCCUGACGGAGCAACGCCACGUGAGUGAUGAAGGUCUUCGGAUCGUAAAACUCUGUUAUUAGUGAAAAACAUAUUUGUAAGUAACUGUGCACAUCUUGACGGUACCUGAUCAGAAAGCCACGGCUAACUACGUG
rnacentral:rRNA from 1 species